UGCAUACUAAACGGGACAAAUGGAUCCAAUCCAAUUCUGUUUUAAAUCUUGAUUACUGUCUCGAGAUGCGUAAAGAUGGAGGCUCGACACCUGGGACACCUGGCCAGACCUAGACUUGGGGACCAGGGAGGCAGAUCAAUGGCACCCAAAGUUGCCCACACCUGUG